rnacentral:rRNA from 1 species
CAAAAACAUAGCUAUAUGUAGUAUAUAUGUAGUGUUUUCUGCUCAAUGAUAUAUUAAAUAGCCGCAGUACAUUGACUGUGCAAAGGUAGCAUAAUCAUUUGGCUUAUAAUUGAAGUCUGGUAUGAAUGGGAGGAUAGGGGGCAACUUUAUCUUAUAAAUAACCCAAAAUUAAUUAAAAAGUGAAAAUACUUUUAGCUAAAUAAUAGACGAGAAGACCCUAGAAAUUUAUAUGAUAUUGGAUUAAAUAGUUUUUGUUGGGGCAACAUAGGAACAUUUAACCUCCUUUAUAUUACUUGACUUAUUUAUUCAGGAAGCAAAAAUUACUCUAGGGAUAACAGCGUAAUAUAUAAAUGUUUGCGACCUCGAUGUUGGAUUAGGAAUGUAUAAUUUAAAAGAUAAUUACUUAGGCUCUGUUCGAGCU